CUGGAGGUAUCAGAAGUGCGAAUGCUGACAUAAGUAACGAUAAAGCGGGUGAAAAGCCCGCUCGCCGGAAGACCAAGGGUUCCUGUCCAACGUUAAUCGGGGCAGGGUGAGUCGACCCCUAAGGCGAGGCCGAAAGGCGUAGUCGAUGGGAAACAGGUUAAUAUUCCUGUACUUGGUGUUACUGCGAAGGGGGGACGGAGAAGGCUAUGUUGGCCGGGCGACGGUUGUCCCGGUUUAAGCGUGUAGGCUGGUUUUCCAGGCAAAUCCGGAAAAUCAAGGCUGAGGCGUGAUGACGAGGCACUACGGUGCUGAAGCAACAAAUGCCCUGCUUCCAGGAAAAGCCUCUAAGCAUCAGGUAACAUCAAAUCGUACCCCAAACCGACACAGGUGGUCAGGUAGAGAAUACCAAGGCGCUUGAGAGAACUCGGGUGAAGGAACUAGGCAAAAUGGUGCCGUAACUUCGGGAGAAGGCACGCUGAUAUGUAGGUGAAGUCCCUCGCGGAUGGAGCUGAAAUCAGUCGAAGAUACCAGCUGGCUGCAACUGUUUAUUAAAAACACAGCACUGUGCAAACACGAAAGUGGACGUAUACGGUGUGACGCCUGCCCGGUGC
rnacentral:rRNA from 4 species